AUGGAAGGGUGGUUUAGCUGGUGUUUCAUUGGCGUAUCCACGAUACUAGCCCUCUGGUUUCUCAAGUUCUUAGGCGGCAAGAGCAACCCCAAGAAGAAGCAACUGCCUCCUGGGCCAUGGACUCUUCCUAUCAUCGGCAGCCUCCACCACGUUGUUAGUGUCCUCCCACACCGCAGGAUGAGUAAGAUGUCUCGCCGGCAUGGGCCAUUGAUGCACCUCAGGCUAGGCGAGGUCCCAGCAGUGAUCGUCUCCAGCGCCGAGGCGGCGGCACAGGUGAUGAAGACUAACGACCUCGCCUUCGCAAGUCGGCCGCAAGGCCCGUUGCAGGAUAUCGUCGGUUGUGGCGGCAGGGGCAUCGUCUUCGGCUCCUACGGGGACCGGUGGCGCCAGAUGCGCAAGAUCUGCGUCGUGGAACUCCUCAGCUCUAAGCAGGUGAGGCGCAUGGAGGGCAUCAAGGCCAAUGAGGUAGAAAACCUCCUCCGUUCCAUCACCGCCGCGGGUGCUACCGUCAACGUCAGCACCAAGAUGGCGGCGCUCAGCAAUGACAUCGUGGCGCGGACAGUUUUCGGCGGCAAGUUCACACAGCAGGACGAGUAUCUCAGCGAACUGGACAAGGUCAUCAAGCUUAUUGGCGGCUUCUGCCUCGUCGACCUUUUCCCAUCCUCACGGCUGGUCCGGUGGCUAAGCAAUGGAGAGCGCCACAUGAGGAGGAGUUACGGCCGUAUCCAGCAUAUCAUCUCUAACAUCAUCGAGGGGCGCAAGGCGGCGCGAACAACCGACCGCCAUGCCUGCAGCACCGAUCAUGAGGACCUACUGGGCGUGCUACUCAGGCUGCAGGAAGAGAACUCGUUAUCCUUCCCUCUAACCACAGAGAUUAUCGGCGUCGUUAUCUUUGACAUUUUUGGAGCUGCCACCGAGACCACAGCAACCACAUUAGAGUGGGCUAUGUCAGAGCUGUUGAAUAACCCUGAGGCUAUGGCUAAGGCACAGCUAGAGGUCCGGGAAAUGCUAGGUCAAGAUCGACAUGUCAUCAAGAGUACCGACCUUAGUGAGCUGCGCUACAUGAGGAUGGUCAUCAAGGAGGUGUUUAGGUUGCAUCCUCCUGUUCCCCUCCUCAUCCCAAGAGAGACAAGAGAGGACUGUAAAAUCAUGGGCUAUGACAUGCCUAAAGGAACUAAUAUCUUUGUUAAUGUUUUUGCAAUUUCCCGGGAUCCUAAAUAUUGGGACAAUCCUGAAGAGUUCAAGCCAGAGAGGUUUCAGAACAACAAGGUGGAUUAUUAUGGGACACAUUUUGAAUUCACCCCUUUCGGGGCUGGGCGAAGGCAAUGCCCAGGGAUGUUGUUCGGCACGUCAACCGUGGAGAUGGUCUUGGCAAAUCUUCUCUACCACUUCGGCUGGGUGAUUCCCAACGGGCCUACUGCAGAGUCGGUGGACAUGUCUGAGAAUUUUGGUAUCACCUUAAGCAGAAAGUUUGACCUGCAGCUGAUAGCUAUUCCAUAUCCACGCUCCAAAGCUAUUUCCAUAUAG
rnacentral:rRNA from 1 species